AUGCAUUUCGACAGUGCAUAUAAAACAGGUGUAACUGUGAACACAGGCAGAGGCGACGAACACACAAAUACCAUCAAUUUCACUCACGCUUGCUCAUGUGUUUUGAGUAUUUAUCUUACUGCAGCUGCUGCUCGAACAAGGCGCAGGUUGCUGAGCUACAAUUGGACAAUCAGAUUUAGGGGGCGGGGUUUAGAGGGCUGUCUGCAGUGUGCAGAAUCAUUGUUCUUUUGUAAAUGGCAGCGACAACAACACUAAUCAGUACGGCUCAGCUGUGAUGAGGGCGUGUGGGUGGUUGUGUGGUUGCGGAGGAGGUCGGGACGUGGAGGUAAACACUCGAAGGCAUGAUUCUGUUCUGUCUUUGGUCUCAAUGUGAUGAGGACAAGGUGGGAAUUUAAAUGAGAUAAACUGAUUGUUAAUUGUUUGUAUUUACGGUGUCACACUGGAUGGGUGUGUUAUUGCACGUUUUAUUUUUCAGUAGAAUUCCAGGAUGCUGAUCUUAAUUCAGUUUAUAAUCAUUGGUGCGAAAGCAUGAUUUUGUCUUGAGAUACUAUAUAAAAGUGAAUGUUUGGAUUUUGAUUGGUGACAGUAAUGAUUGAACGGUAUUCACAUUUAAGUAAAAAAGUAGAGAAAUAAAGGCCACUCAUAAAAAAUAAAAAGUACUUUUUUCCUGUAUACUACACUGCUACCCUACAAAUGUUUGAGUUACCUGAAUUGCAAAUGUUUGGUAUAUACAAGAAUGGUUUGACGCGGAUGAGUCGACCAUAACUUAACACAGACUAGCCUACGGUUAUGCUGGCAACUAGAAAAGGAAACCGCACAGUGAAAAUCAAGGAAAACUCCAAGCAUACCAGUCUCACACAAACAAUAUCCACAUGCCUUUAGAUUCAAAUCAAUAAGAAUCACCUGUGCAGAGCCAGCUCAAAUAUAUGCACCUAUAAAGCAGAUCACAUAUGUAAACUGCAGUCACACACACACACACACACACACUGAAUCAAUUACAGGAAAUAGGAAAUAUAUUCAGCAUGCACACUCACAAGCGCCUGUCUUGUAAAUUUGCAUUAGUACCACGUGUCCAAAGAAAGAAAAAAAAGUGCAAACCGAAGUCAAGGAAAAAAUGUCACGGCAGUAAUGUCAAAAAUGAAACAACUUAGAUUAAAGGGGCUUCAUUAUGUAAAGAGUCAACCAAUGAACCGAUCAAAAGAAUAAGAACAAUAGUGUUUGCCCGUCACCUAUUCAGAAAACACACACACACUUACCUCAGUGAACAAAAAAACCGUCUCACACUCCAUUUCCAGUAAAUGAGAACGAGCGAACCCCCACAAACUAAUCCAACGCAGCAGCUGCGAUCGAUCGCGGCGGCGGGACUUCAGCCGGCGUCACGUCACUCGGGCCGCAGCGUCUCUUGUUUGCCGGAGCGGCCAGUGGAAAAGUCAAUUAAGCCCGCUGUGGCGUGGAAAAGCAAUACGGACGGCCUGUACGGAUACAGAUGUGCCAGCGCCUGUGAGAACAACGCGCUGAAAGGAAAAAAAAUGGCAAAGAAGUAAAAACCUGAUGGAUAUACAAAGGCCUACACAGUAAAACCCCACCAACAAUAAAGUGGAACUCUCUGUUUCUGAAAAUAUAUAUUGUAUAAUCCCCUUCCCCACUCAACCACACCAGUAUCCAUGGCAACGUGAGAGCACCCGAUUCGAUGCUGUCCCCCGUCCCACCCCCUCUCCGUCCCCAGUGGCUCAGGUCUCUGCCGACGGGAUCCGAACAAUGAGCUGAGCUGGGAUCAGUUUUCAGCGUUUUUUCCUCACUUCCUGUUAUCGUCUCAACGGGUCAGUGUGCGCGCUCAUCCUGCAGGUUUCCUGGGGAGGAGUCCCUGGUAGGAGGUCCGGCUCAGGAGUGUGGGGGGUGGUGGUGGUGG
ensembl:lncRNA